CUAGUGAGUGGACGGAAUGUACUUGAAAUACUGGUAUACUGACAGCUAGGAGGCAUAGGUAACGCUCUCAACAGACAUGAUCACCAACUGACUUAGCGGCUCUCUCACGACCCUGAGAAGUCUCCACUCACACAGAGGUGGGGUUCCAGAAGUGGUUGGAAGACUCUCUAGAAGGAAAAGCAUCUUGCUUUUUAAUGAAAGAAGUAUUUUUAUUGAUAGACAUUUUGAUGACUGAGUAGUCUGUUAUCUGUUUGUGGAAUUUGUCAAGAAUCUUUUUUCAUCAAACAUGGGUCUCUGUGCAUUCCACAGUUAACAGCUGUACCAAUCCAAGCCUAAGAGAACCCUGGAUGGGGUGAGUCAGGCGGUAAGAGUUCUGCUGAAAACGUCUCACCUGGAAGUUGUUCUCUGGAUGUCUUACAGAAAUACUCAACCUGCAUAUAAAUGCUACAUGAAUAACAAUGCAUGUAACAGCCUAGAGAAGAGAAUUCCCUGGUGCAGAAAUGGCUCCAUGGAAAACGGCAGCAUCCACUCCUUAAGUGCUCACUCCAGGCACACAAUGCUUCUGCCUCUCUAGAAAUACUUAUAAAUCAUUACUGUAUAUUUGAUGAUUGCUUCUUUCAUUCUCCUCUUCUUUUUAAUAAAAUAAAAAAAUAAAUGAAAAUGCUUUGGGGAUUUUUUUUAAGCCUUAUAGUAGAUCAGAAUGGAAAUGGUUAUGAAUAUGUUUUUGGAAAAGACCACACAGACCAACCCCAAUUCAUCCCUGUGCUAUUUAUUCUUUACUUGAAGAUUAGGUAAAUUGAAGCAGCUGUAUCCAUGGUCAUCCUCUCUGAAGAUACUAACAUGACUCUUAAUAAUACAGCACUUAGCUCAAUGCUUGUUGAUGAAAUGUCUUUCGUGAAAGCAGCAGACAUUUUCCAGAUAUGUUAUUUCAUGGGUGAAGUGCUAAACUUGGAGUUAGUAAGACCAAUGUUUUCAUCCUAUCUCAGGCACUUACUAUAUUAUAGUUAUAUUUCCAUGUUCAUUUAGUUAUAAUGCCAUAAAAAUCACAUAUCCUGACUCAG